rnacentral:pre_miRNA from 1 species
AUACUACCUCCGUCUCAAAAUAAAUGCAGCUAUGAGUUUCCGCGUCCAACUUUGAUCAUCCGUCUUAUUUGAAAUUUUUUAUAAUUAGCAUUUUUGUUGUUAUAAGAUGAUAAAACAUGAAUAAUAAUUUACUCGCGACUUAUGUUUUUAAUUUUUUUCAAAAAUUUUUCAAAUAAGACAAAUGGUCAAAGUUGGGCACGGAAAACUAUGGCUGUACUUAUUUUGGGACGGAGGGAGUAC